UGAGGAAUAUUGGUCAAUGGACGGAAGUCUGAACCAGCCAUGCCGCGUGCAGGAUGACGGCCCUAUGGGUUGUAAACUGCUUUUAUUCGGGAAUAAACCUCUUUACGAGUAGAGAGCUGAAGGUACCGAAUGAAUAAGCACCGGCUAACUCCGCGCCAGCAGCCGCGGUAAUACGUAGGGGGCAAGCGUUGUCCGGAUUUACUGGGUGUAAAGGGCGCGCAGGCGGGAUAAAAAGUCAGUGGUGAAAUCCUACAGCUUAACUGUAGAACUGCCUUUGAUACUUUUAAUCUUGAGUUCGGGAGAGGGAGACGGAAUUCCAGGUGUAGUGGUGAAAUACGUAGAUAUCUGGAAGAACACCAGUUGCGAAGGCGGUCUCUUGGUCCGACACUGACGCUGAGGCGCGAAAGCGUGGGGAGCAAACA
rnacentral:rRNA from 1 species